rnacentral:rRNA from 1 species
AUCGAACGCUGGCGGCAGGCCUAACACAUGCAAGUCGAACGAGUGGCGGAAGGGUGAGUAAUGUCUGGGAAACUGCCUGAUGGAGGGGGAUAACUACUGGAAACGGACGCUAAUACCGCAUACCAUCAGAAGUGCCCAGAGGGGAAUAGCUGGUUGGUGGGGUAACGGCUCACCAAGGCGACGAUCCCUAGCUGGUCUGAGAGGCUGACCGGCCACACGGGAAAUGAGACACGGUCCGGACGCCUACGGGGGGCAGCGGUGGGGAAUAUUGCACAAGGGGCGCAAGCCUAAUGCGGCCAUGCCGCGUGUAUGAGGAAGGCCUUCGGUUUGUAAAGUACGUUCAGCGGGGAGGCGGUACCCGCAGAGGAAGCACCGGCUAACUCCGUGCCAGCAGCCGCGGUAAUAC